rnacentral:rRNA from 1 species
UACAGAGGUGGCAAGCGUUGUUCGGAAUUACUGGGCGUAAAGGGCGCGUAGGCGGCCCGUCAAGUCCCGUGUGAAAGCCCCGGCUCAACCGGGAACUGCACGGGAAACUAGCAGGCUUGAGUUCGGGAGAGGGAAGCGGAAUUUCGGGUGUAGCGGUGAAAUGCGCAGAUAUCCGAAGGAACACCGGUGGCGAAGGCGGCUUCCUGGACCGACACUGACGCUGAGGCGCGAAAGCUAGGGGAGCAAACGGG